UUAAAUUAUAAAUCCUACUACAUAUUUGGGUACAAAUUGUCUACUUUGUCCCUCUACUUUUUGUGUAUCUUCAAUGUACUGCCACUCUAUACAAGCUUUUUAUACGGUAUACACACGUGUGUGAAGCUCAGCCACACAUUCUCUACCGUAUCCGCUGCUUCUGUGGUUAGUAUCUAAUUAGGGUUUCAAAUUUCAAAACAGAGUUACUAAACUCUCCCGCUUGAGCUGCACAUCCUUCCGCCAUUUCGGCCGUCUCACGCUUCGUUCCGGCUGUUCUUCAUCGUUUCUUACAUUUGCCUUCUAAUGGAAGAGGGUUUCAAUAUUCUCCAAUUAAAUCUCUCUCUCGCCGGAGCUGGUUGGAGACUUCUCUGAAGAAAUUAUUAAAAGAGAAAAGCUUUGGACAGGUACUAAUCAUGAUUAUGUGCUGUUUAUAAGUUUUCGCUUGAAUAAGUUUUAAGAAACCCAGCCAGCCAUAUGUUUUGUUCCUCUAUACCAUGGAACAUGGAACAGUACAAGUAGCCACGGUGUCCUUUUACGGUCCACUUCUAGCAGAUCAGCUUGCAAAUAUUUGAAAGCAUUAACAUUAUGUUCUGUUUACUUAUUACAAUUAGCAGAGAUAUACGGUGUUAUUAUGUUUAGGAGUUUUCAUCAUGCCAGCAUGAAUUAGAUGCACAUAAAGUCGACGAGGUUUUUAUUUGAGAUUAUAAAUAUUAAUAGAUCUCACGUUUUAAGAUACGUGUCAAGUUGGACUAGCCAUGAUGUUUCUUUCAGCUAUUGGGAAGCCUCAACCUAUUAUACCAGCAAGAUCUAUUUGUUUACUGGAUUGCAAGAGGAGGCCUAAUAAGUCGUCGCUCUUGGAUUCUCCUGUUGUUAUUGCUCUGUCUUUCUUCUCAACUAAUGUCGUGAGCAUCGAAGUCUCCCUUAAUUUGCAGUUUCUCGGAAAUCAUCCAAUACAUGUCAAAUUAUCAAAAUUAAUUGAAAUUGUGGCGGAUAGUACAAGUACCGGAAACAAAUAAAUCUUGGCUUCCAAAACAAAGAAUUGGCGAGGUAUUACUUGAUUCCACGAAGGUCAAGAAAUGGUUGGAGGAGAAAGAGGCUGAACAGGCUAGGCAUAGAAAAUCAUCAAAAAAAGAGAGAAUCUGCAGCUAUCUUUCUUACUGGCAGAUUAUUAGAAACAAUGAGGAGAUAUAGAGGUCCUGAGGCCACGGCUGAGUACAUUCACGGCACGCUGAACAUUAGAUCAUGACUAUCUCAAAUAUGAUCGGGUCAGUGGAACAAAUGUCGCUGGCUGAUCAUCCGGUUAAGGGGUUCAUGGUAGUUGGUGUUCCGCAGCUUCUGUUCCUCGGCGGUCUGCCUUUUCUUGAGAAACAAGCCUCUCACAUUGCACACUUGAUUGCUGGGAGAUCUGGCAAGCAUCUAUUUUAAUUGAUAAAGAUGUAGACAGGCCUCUUCUCCAAAUAGGUCAUGACCUGGAUGAUCUUAAAUUCAUGUUGGCAAGAAUUUAAGAUCAUCCAUUAUAAAGGAUUUAGGAUUCAUGUUAGCAAGGUUUUAAGUGUUCUUUGAUGUUUGUAUGUAAACUUGGUUUUACGAUUUUGAUAUGCCUAAAUAGUUUUUCCCCAGUUGUCCUCAUGUUUGUGUGUUUAACAAUGUGUAGUCGACUACGAUACGAAAAUGAUGAGGGAACGUCAACGGAGUUUUGCAAGUAAUGCAUU